rnacentral:misc_RNA from 1 species
GGAAGUAAAAGUCACAAGGUUUCCGUAGGUGAACCUGCCGAAGGAUCAUUAUUGUAUAACCGAGGUGCGAGGGCUGUCGCUGACCCGAAAGGUCGUGCACGCCCGAGUGCCCUCACACACAUCCAUCUCACCCCUAUGUGCACCACCGCGUGGGUCCCCCUUUGGCUUGUUCGGAGGGGGGCUUACGUUUUCACACAAACUUUGUAUGCAGUGUAGAAUGUAUUUUUUGUUUUUGCGAUCACGCAAUCAAUACAACUUUCAACAACGGAUCUCUUGGCUCUC